AACUGUCCAUUUACUCCACCUCUCCUCUCUCUAACCUGUUUGGGGGAUUUCACAUCUGAAAGGACUGGUGACAGCUGAGAGCCAAUAGCGUGCAAGGAUCAAAGACCAGAUUCUAGGUGAGUAUCUGAACUGUUUUGAAACCUCCUUUGUGUUGCUUUUUCUGUUGUUGACAGAGCCUUCAGAAGAAAUAUAUUCUCGUGUAGUUUUGAGUCUCAUGAAAAGGGUUGUACAGCAAGAGCAAGAAUGUAAGAGCUGCAAUGCUGGGGUGAAACGUUUUUUUCAAUGAUAGAAAGUGAAUCUAUUAAAUAAACCUUAAAAAUACAAUCUUAAAUCCAUUUGAAACUCUUUCCUGAAUAGUCUUUUUAGGAUCUUAAGUGACACAUUUGGUGAAGGCCUGUCAAACUACGUUCCCACAUUAGGCCACAUAAUGUCACUCAGGACUUUGUUAUCACUAAAGUUCUAGAGCCUAAUAACUUGCCAUACGUCCCAAACCACCACCUCGUCCCUACCAACUCGCUCGGAGGCAUGACCAAAAUAUGAGGGUGACUAUGGAAUGAGAUCAGAUUUGUUUUUAAAAUAUAUUAGCAUACCUUAUGGAUGCCCGUACCACACGGUCACCGGCAAUAAUAAUAAUACUAGGUUAACAGGUCAAUAUUCUUGUUUCCUCACUGCUCUUUAUUCUUUCGGCCACAUGAACUGAGAGACUGGCCGAUGAAAAUCUGGAGAAACACAUUCAAUAAGGUUGAUAAAUAAGACCAAAAAAAACACAAUGCUAUAACUCUUAUCAAAUUUUUUAUUUGAAAUUCUCUUGUCGAUUGCAUUACACUUAUAAAAGAAUCAACAUGAAUUUCAAACUUACAAACACCUAAGUCUAAGACUUAAACCAGGCAGAGGAGUGGAGUUUAUUUGGGAAUCAUUUUCAAAUCGCUCUCCAUUGGUCUCUAGAGAGUUGUGUUAAGGAGCCGUGAUAUUCACUGAUAACAAAACUCUUGGUCAAGACUAGGCCUCCGGGGAGGAUUGAGGUCACAGGGCCAAGACAGUUGGCCUGGCCCCAGAUUUGUUUGUGUUGUCUUUCCAACAGGACAAGACAGCACAAACAGAUCUGGUACCAGGGUAUAAGACAAUGGAAUAUGCACAGGCAUGACCAAGUCCCCAUGGUCUGAUUCCUCUCCUGUGUUUGCUCUCAUGUCCAUAUUGUGUGAUGACAUUGUGUGGGGUGGUAUCACACUGGGAAUCAAAGCUCUGAGAGAGAGAGAAGGAAGCUUAUAUCAAUGGCUGAUGAUUCUGUUUGUGGAUGUUAUUGCAAAAUGAGUUCAAAUAAUGAAAUCUUAAGUUUGAAAUGUGGAUUUUAUUUGACUCUAGUAGUCCUAAUUUAGACCACUGAGGACACUGAUUAUAACACUCAUGAAGACAAGUUGAUUAGAUUUUUGGUGGGGAAGUGGG